rnacentral:rRNA from 1 species
UGGGGAAUAUUGCACAAUGGGCGCAAGCCUGAUGCAGCCAUGCCGCGUGUGUGAAGAAGGCCUUCGGGUUGUAAAGCACUUUCAGCGAGGAGGAAGGUGGUGAGCUUAAUACGCUCAUCAAUUGACGUUACUCGCAGAAGAAGCACCGGCUAACUCCGUGCCAGCAGCCGCGGUAAUACGGAGGGUGCAAGCGUUAAUCGGAAUUACUGGGCGUAAAGCGCACGCAGGCGGUUUGUUAAGUCAGAUGUGAAAUCCCCGGGCUCAACCUGGGAACUGCAUUUGAAACUGGCAAGCUAGAGUCUCGUAGAGGGGGGUAGAAUUCCAGGUGUAGCGGUGAAAUGCGUAGAGAUCUGGAGGAAUACCGGUGGCGAAGGCGGCCCCCCUGGACGAAGACUGACGCUCAGGUGCGAAAGCGUGGGGCAGCAAACAGGAUUAGAUACCCUGGUAGUCCAGCGCUGUAAAACGAUGUCGAUUUGGAGGUUGUGCCCCUUGAGGCGUGGCUUCCGGAGCUAACGCGUU